CGGCGUGCCUAAUACAUGCAAGUAGAACGCUGAAGAGAGGAGCUUGCUCUUCUUGGAUGAGUUGCGAACGGGUGAGUAACGCGUAGGUAACCUGCCUUGUAGCGGGGGAUAACUAUUGGAAACGAUAGCUAAUACCGCAUAACAAUGGAUGACACAUGUCAUUUAUUUGAAAGGGGCAAUUGCUCCACUACAAGAUGGACCUGCGUUGUAUUAGCUAGUAGGUGAGGUAACGGCUCACCUAGGCGACGAUACAUAGCCGACCUGAGAGGGUGAUCGGCCACACUGGGACUGAGACACGGCCCAGACUCCUACGGGAGGCAGCAGUAGGGAAUCUUCGGCAAUGGGGGCAACCCUGACCGAGCAACGCCGCGUGAGUGAAGAAGGUUUUCGGAUCGUAAAGCUCUGUUGUAAGUCAAGAACGAGUGUGAGAGUGGAAAGUUCACACUGUGACGGUAGCUUACCAGAAAGGGACGGCUAACUACGUGCCAGCAGCCGCGGUAAUACGUAGGUCCCGAGCGUUGUCCGGAUUUAUUGGGCGUAAAGCGAGCGCAGGCGGUUUGAUAAGUCUGAAGUUAAAGGCUGUGGCUCAACCAUAGUUCGCUUUGGAAACUGUCAAACUUGAGUGCAGAAGGGGAGAGUGGAAUUCCAUGUGUAGCGGUGAAAUGCGUAGAUAUAUGGAGGAACACCGGUGGCGAAAGCGGCUCUCUGGUCUGUAACUGACGCUGAGGCUCGAAAGCGUGGGGAGCGAACAGGAUUAGAUACCCUGGUAGUCCACGCCGUAAACGAUGAGUGCUAGGUGUUGGAUCCUUUCCGGGAUUCAGUGCCGCAGCUAACGCAUUAAGCACUCCGCCUGGGGAGUACGACCGCAAGGUUGAAACUCAAAGGAAUUGACGGGGGCCCGCACAAGCGGUGGAGCAUGUGGUUUAAUUCGAAGCAACGCGAAGAACCUUACCAGGUCUUGACAUCCCGAUGCUAUUUCUAGAGAUAGAAAGUUACUUCGGUACAUCGGUGACAGGUGGUGCAUGGUUGUCGUCAGCUCGUGUCGUGAGAUGUUGGGUUAAGUCCCGCAACGAGCGCAACCCCUAUUGUUAGUUGCCAUCAUUCAGUUGGGCACUCUAGCGAGACUGCCGGUAAUAAACCGGAGGAAGGUGGGGAUGACGUCAAAUCAUCAUGCCCCUUAUGACCUGGGCUACACACGUGCUACAAUGGUUGGUACAACGAGUUGCGAGUCGGUGACGGCAAGCUAAUCUCUUAAAGCCAAUCUCAGUUCGGAUUGUAGGCUGCAACUCGCCUACAUGAAGUCGGAAUCGCUAGUAAUCGCGGAUCAGCACGCCGCGGUGAAUACGUUCCCGGGCCUUGUACACACCGCCCGUCACACCACGAGAGUUUGUAACACCCGAAGUCGGUGAGGUAACCUUAUGGAGCCAGCCGCCUAAGGUGGGAUAGAUGAUUGGGGUGAAA
rnacentral:rRNA from 1 species